rnacentral:tRNA from 7 species
UGGGGGAUAGUUUAAUUGGUAGAACAGCGGGUUUUGAUCCCGUCAGUCCAGGUUCGAGUCCCGGUCCCCCAGCCA